rnacentral:lncRNA from 1 species
AUGGCUAAAAAGGCCGGGAAAAUAGCUGCGCAGGAAGCAGUCCCAGUGGCCAACGGUGUCCAAGUCUUCCGGGUGGUGCAGGUUCCCAGGCGUGAUCGCAAGUGGCACCCAGCACCCAGCUACAGAGGCCCCCUCCCCUGCUACGGAGAGGGGUCUGGAGCCAUCGACCUGGGCCUGGUUGGAGUGCGGGGCGUCUGCCGGCCUCUACGUUGGGCCUGUUCUCCGCAGGGAGAGCUCACAUCGGCCUCUCUGCCACCCCUUGAGCUCACGCUAAAGCGCAACGACACAGUUUACCUGGUCACAAGUCGAGAGCCUAGGGGACGAGUGUUGCUGCUAAAGCCCCGUUCACAAAACGCUGAGGCGGGACCACGCCGCCAGCGCCUGGGCACAAAGUGCGGCCCCGGGGGCCCCGGGGGCGGGGCGGCUCCCCUCUGCCAGCACGUUCCGAUUCGGGGAAAACCUGUCUGCUUGGUGUUUCUGGGACAAAAAGGGCCUUUGUCGCUCUAGGUCUUGUGUAGACGCAAAGACAAGGCCGUCGUAUAUUCCGUGACUCCCGCGAUGUAUGGGAGCACAGGCCGCUCCGGGCAGGGCGCGUGCUCCUGGGGGCACCGGGGUCCUCGGGAGGCCCCGCGCACCUGCGGGCUGGCCCUGGGGCAGACUCCAUGCAGGGGGCCUGUCUCCCCAGCGGUGCCUCCAGGUGCCAGCCACCAGCCUGUCCCCACGUGGGGGCCGAAGAAGCACUUUGAAGCGGGUGAUGGGCCUCAUCUUACAGCCAAAAUCUGUAAAACACUUUUUUUAAAAAAAGCCUUGGGACGCCUGGAUGGCUCAGUGAUUGGGUGUCUCUGCCUUUGGCUCAGGGCAUGAUCCUGGGAUCCAGGAUCAAGUCCCCCGUCGGGCUCCCUGCGUGGAGCCUGCUUCUCCCUCUGCCUGUGUCUCUGCCUCUCUCUCUCUCUCUGUGUCUCUCGUGAAUAAAUAAAUAAAAUCUUAAAAAAAUAAUAAAUUAAAAUGAAGUGUAAACAUCAGCUCCAAGCGUCGGCCCAGGGCUGGGGCAGGAGUGGCCCUGAGCAGCCCCUCCCUGGCCGCCAGCGGUGCUGUGCUGGAUGACCCCACAGGAGAG